GACGUAGGGCGCGAGCGUUGUCCGGAUUUAUUGGGCGUAAAGAGCUCGUAGGCGGCUUGUCGCGUCGUCCGUGAAAACCUGGGGCUCAACCCCAGGCUUGCGGUCGAUACGGGCAGGCUCGAGUUCGGUAGGGGAGACUGGAAUUCCUGGUGUAGCGGUGAAAUGCGCAGAUAUCAGGAGGAACACCGAUGGCGAAGGCAGGUCUCUGGGCAUUAACUGACGCUGAGGAGCGAAAGCAUGGGGAGCGAACAGG
rnacentral:rRNA from 1 species